rnacentral:tRNA from 3 species
UGCCGAUUAGGUUAGUGGUAGACCACCAGACUCUGAAUCUGGGUGCCCAGGUUCGAAUCCUGGAUCGGCAGCCA